rnacentral:tRNA from 2 species
GCGAAAGUAGCUCAGUUGGUAGAGCACAACCUUGCCAAGGUUGGGGUCGCGAGUUCGAAUCUCGUCUUUCGCUCGA